rnacentral:rRNA from 1 species
CACGUAGUUGGCCGGUGCUUCUUCUCCUACUACCGUCACUUGCGCUUCGUCAUAGGUGAAAGAGGUUUACAACCCGAAGGCCGUCAUCCCUCACGCGGCGUUGCUGGAUCAGGCUUUCGCCCAUUGUCCAAUAUUCCCCACUGCUGCCUCCCGUAGGAGUCUGGGCCGUGUCUCAGUCCCAGUGUGGCCGGUCACCCUCUCAGGCCGGCUACCCGUCGAAGCCUUGGUAGGCCACUACCCCACCAACAAGCUGAUAGGCCGCGAGCUCAUCCAUCACCGCCGGAACUUUCCACCACACCAGAUGCCCGGCAUGGUCAUAUUCGGUAUUAGCACCGGUUUCCCGGAGUUAUCCCGAAGUGAAGGGCAGAUUACUCACGUGUUACUCACCCGUUCGCCGCUCGUGUACCCCGAAGGGCCUUACCGCUCGACUUGCAUGUGUUAAGCACGCCGCCAGCGUUCGUCCUGAGCCAGGAUCAACUCU